GCUGGGUGUGGUGGCAUACAUAUGCCUGUAUUCCCAGCUACUUGGGAGGCUGAGGUGGGAGGAUUGCUUGAGCCCAGGAGUUCUAGGAUGCAGUGAGCUGUGAUUGUACCACUGCACUGUAGCCUGGGCAACAGAGUGAGACUUCAUCUCUU
rfam:Pan troglodytes isolate Yerkes chimp pedigree #C0471 (Clint) chromosome 17, whole genome shotgun sequence.